rnacentral:rRNA from 1 species
UACGUAGGUGGCAAGCGUUGUCCGGAUUUACUGGGCGUAAAGAGCGCGCAGGCGGUCGGAUAAGUCGAAUGUGAAAGCCCCCCGGCUCAACUGGGGAGGGUCAUUCGAUACUGUUCGACUCGAAGGCAGGAGAGGGAAGUGGAAUUCCCGGUGUAGUGGUGAAAUGCGUAGAUAUCGGGAGGAACACCAGUGGCGAAGGCGACUUCCUGGCCUGUUCUUGACGCUGAGGCGCGAAAGCUAGGGGAGCAAACGGG